AACCAUAGAAACCUGCGGAGUACCUGCGGAAGGAUCAUUACAAGUGACCCCGGUCUAACCACCGGGAUGUUCAUAACCCUUUGUUGUCCGACUCUGUUGCCUCCGGGGCGACCCUGCCUUCGGGCGGGGGCUCCGGGUGGACACUUCAAACUCUUGCGUAACUUUGCAGUCUGAGUAAAUUUAAUUAAUAAAUUAAAACUUUCAACAACGGAUCU
rnacentral:misc_RNA from 1 species